AGAGUUUGAUCCUGGCUCAGGAUGAACGCUAGCUACAGGCUUAACACAUGCAAGUCGAGGGGCAGCACGGGGAAGCAAUACCUGGGUGGCGACCGGCGCACGGGUGCGUAACGCGUAUCCAACCUUCCCGAUACUCUUGGAUAGCCUUCCGAAAGGGAGAUUAAUACAAAGAUGGUGUUUUCACUUCCGCAUGUUAUUGAAACUAAAGAUUUAUCGGUAUCGGAUGGGGAUGCGUGACAUUAGGUAGAUGGCGGGGUAACGGCCCACCAUGCCUACGAUGUCUAGGGGUUCUGAGAGGAAGGUCCCCCACACUGGAACUGAGACACGGUCCAGACUCCUACGGGAGGCAGCAGUGAGGAAUAUUGGUCAAUGGUCGGAAGACUGAACCAGCCAAGUAGCGUGAAGGAUGAAGGUUCUAUGGAUUGUAAACUUCUUUUAUACGGGAAUAAAGCCCGCUACGUGUAGCGGUUUGUAUGUACCGUAUGAAUAAGCAUCGGCUAACUCCGUGCCAGCAGCCGCGGUAAUACGGGGGAUGCGAGCGUUAUCCGGAUUUAUUGGGUUUAAAGGGAGCGUAGACGGGAUGUUAAGUCAGUUGUGAAAGGCUGCGGCUCAACCGCAGCACUGCAGUUGAUACUGGUGUCCUUGAGUGCGGUUGAGGUGUGUGGAAUUCGUGGUGUAGCGGUGAAAUGCUUAGAUAUCACGAAGAACUCCGAUUGCGAAGGCAGCCUUCUGGAGUGCAACUGACACUGAUGCUCGAAAGUGUGGGUAUCCAACAGGAUUAGAUACCCUGGUAGUCCACACAGUAA
rnacentral:rRNA from 1 species